AUGGCCCCCACCAGCGCUCCAGCCACACGUGUGACUCCGCUGCUGGCCACGUGCCGCAGUGAGCGGCCACUGAAAGAAACGCCUCGUGAGUGUGGGGCUCGGCUGCCACUCCUCCAGACUUCCAAAUCCACCACCGGAGCCCCAAUGGCUGCCGCCGGAGACCUCAAGUCGGAGUACCACCAGGUCCUGCUCAACCGCCGCCGCGAACACCGAGCUCGUGGCGACCCAGUCCCAGUGCCUCUGACCAUGGAGCAAGGGAGUCCGAUGAAGGACCUAUUGUACCAAGGAAACCGUCCUGUGUCUCAGAAAGAUCAGGAUCCUCCAUCGAUCUGA
rnacentral:rRNA from 1 species